rnacentral:rRNA from 1 species
UACGAAGGGGGCUAGCGUUGCUCGGAAUCACUGGGCGUAAAGGGUGCGUAGGCGGGUCUUUUAGUCAGGGGUGAAAUCCUGGAGCUCAACUCCAGAACUGCCUUUGAUACUGAAGAUCUUGAGUUCGGGAGAGGUGAGUGGAACUGCGAGUGUAGAGGUGAAAUUCGUAGAUAUUGGGAAGAACACCGGUGGCGAAGGCGGCGCUCUGGACCGAGACUGACGCUGAGGCGCGAAAGCGUGGGGAGCAAACAGG